rnacentral:rRNA from 1 species
AGGAUAGGUAGGAGCCGAAGAGACGUGUGCGCUAGCAUACGAGGAGGCAAUGGUGGGAUACUACCCUGGCUGUAUGACCAUUCUAACCCACCACGCUUAGCGCGUGGGGAGACAGUGUCAGGUGGGCAGUUUGACUGGGGCGGUCGCCUCCUAAAGAGUAACGGAGGCGCCCAAAGGUUCCCGCAGAAUGGAUGGAAAUCAUUCGCAGAGUGUAAAGGCACAAGGGAGCUUG